ACCGGCUGCAUGCAAAGCCAGACCUCCGGGGACCUCUGGGCCAGACUACAUCUACAAACAGAGCUGCGCUGACUUAAUCUUCGGUUGGCUAAACUUCUUCUUCAAGAUCAUCAUGGCGUUCUUCUUUGGAUUAGCCGUGACCGCACUGUUCGGCCUGCUGGUCUCCCUCCUGAU